CAGCACGGCACCACCACCGACGCAGACGACGGAGCGGCGCGACAUGAACGGAGGGACUGCAGUUUAGAGAAAAACAUCUGCAAAAGCGCAAAAAGCGUACAUUGCCUCAACAGUUGCCAGAGGAACAUGAGUUACAUGAAAUAGCGACUGGAAUACAAAACGAAAAUGUUUCCUCCCAGGCUGCUGUUGCAACCACCGAAAAGGCAAUGGAACGUUUGAAUAUACAAGAAAACAAUCUGCAAAAGCAAGAAAAGCCUACAUUGACUCAACAGUUGCCAGAGGAAGAUGGGUUACAUGAAAUAGCAACAGGGAUACAAGACAAAAAUGUUUCCACUGAGGCUGCUGCUGCCACCAUAAAAGAUGAAAUGGAUCGUUCGAAUUUGCAUGAAGAGCAUGAUGAUGGAAAUGUCGCUCAGGACAACGAAAAGCUCGGUGAAGAUGCAAAUGUCGAUAACGACAAAUAGAUGGAUGCAAAUUUAGCAACAUGAUGACUCUUUUCACUCAUCCUGUUCUCAACAUCAUGGGAAAUUUUAUUUGUAUUUUAGACAUUUUGGCAAAUUACGGCCUCUAAAAUAAUGUACGUAACUUUAUUUACCACACAGGAGGCGGUUCAGAGAUUUAUGUAAGCAUGCAUGUGGUGUCUGGCUCAGGUUUCCAACAGAGAUAGUCAUAGCAUUUUUAUGCGUUAUUUUUUUAAAUUUAAACAUGAAAAAUUCAUUUUUACACUGUGAGUAGAGUUUUGUAGUGUAAAGAUUGAUUGAAAGCUUUUCAGAUGACGAUAGAAUAUUUAUCAAGUAGAAAAAGUGCUCAGCCAUCUGAAAGUAAUCUACCAGGUGUCUACAGCGUCAACUAGUUGUUUAUUAAGAUGACGUGUAGCAUUUUAUACUAAUGUAUACUUAUUGCCUGGUACCUGCAUUCUGUGGUGGGUAUGAAUAAGAAGGUUCUCCAACCAUAGUUAUUGUGAUUUCUAUUGUACAGGGAUCUUUCAACAGUGGUUACAUCAUUUUCCACUGCUGUGUAAAAUACUUGUGAUUUUAACAUGUGUGCUUCACUCAUACCAGUUAAUGAAUUAAAAACCUAAGUAAAAUGUUCAUUUACAGCAGGAAACAUAUGAUACAGAAUUGCUAUGUUACUAGAAUUUUGACAGAAUACAUUACUGUUUGACGAACAAGCUUAAUAUGGAAACUUGUAUUGGAGUUGUAACUGCUGUUAGAUUAUUGUUAUUGUAGAAUUAUUGUAGGUAGAUAAGGGAAUUAUAGAAAAUUAUAGUUGGAAAUAGAAGUAGAUAUUUCAGUUAAAUAGACUGUUGUAACCAUGUAAGUGACCUUUGGAUGUGAUAGAUAAUAUCUGACUGAUGUAGCUGUGUAGUUUCUGUGCUACAAUUGGGUAUGAUUACAUGAAUUAUCAAUUUAUUGGUUGUUAUAAGUGACUUGUAAAAUUUUUGUGAGAAUUAAGUAAAAAAUAGGUGUCAAUACCAUUUUUUAUACAAUGUGAGAAACGAGUGUUUAGCUUCUAUAUUACAUACAGUAUCAUACAUGACAGUUAAUUAUAGCCCUUUAUGGUAUAACCAAAUAUACUGAUAAAUUUCUAAUUGGAUAAAGAUAAAUUUGUGGGUAAUGUGUUUCCUCUAAAUAUAUCAUGUGUAUAUUACUAUGAAUCCUAAAAGAUAACUAAUGAAAUUUUAGUAUUACACAGUUCUACUUACCAGUAAUCAUUUUUCUAUGACUCUUCUAAAAACCGAAGUUGCUGAGCACCUGUACUGCUAUAAGUUUGCUAACAAUGUGUAAAACAUAUAGUUUGACACUUGUUCAUAUAUAGAAACUAGUUAUCAUUGAAAUAUUUGUGAAAAUACUUAUGGAAUUGGAAAUAUCAC